GACGAACGCUGGCGGCGUGCUUAACACAUGCAAGUCGAACGGAAAGGCCCCUUUGGGGGUACUCGAGUGGCGAACGGGUGAGUAACACGUGAGUAACCUGCCCUUGACUUCGGGAUAACUUCAGGAAACUGGGGCUAAUACCGGAUAGGAAUCCUUGCUGCAUGGUGGGGGUUGGAAAGCUUCGGCGGUUUUGGAUGGACUCGCGGCUUAUCAGCUUGUUGGUGGGGUAGUGGCUUACCAAGGCUUUGACGGGUAGCCGGCCUGAGAGGGCGACCGGCCACAUUGGGACUGAGAUACGGCCCAGACUCCUACGGGAGGCAGCAGUGGGGAAUAUUGCACAAUGGGCGGAAGCCUGAUGCAGCAACGCCGCGUGCGGGAUGACGGCCUUCGGGUUGUAAACCGCUUUCAGCAGGGGCGAAGUUUGUGGUGACGGUACCUGCAGAAGAAGCACCGGCUAACUACGUG
rnacentral:rRNA from 1 species